rnacentral:misc_RNA from 1 species
GACACUGAAAGCACAAGGUCCUUCGAUAAAGAAAUUCUUACAUCCAGGAGAUUGGUAAUUCAAGUGACAAGUUAGCCCUUCUUCUUCGCGUAACAAGCAGAGAUACGCGAAGAGUGGCAGCUGUCGAAUUUCAGAUUUUGCGAUCGAAUACCGAUAGUGCUGAAAAUGCUUUUGACAAAAAGAAUGUCACCGAUGUCCUUUGCAUCAUGGAUCGAAUGAUGAGCCUGAAUACACCACGUUCCGUCUAUCCUAUACAAAUCGGCAGAUAGUUUUCAAUAUCGCAUAAGCGAACAGAUGAUGCG